UUAAAAAAAAUUUGAGGGAAUAUCACUAAAAUAAUUGCUAUCACUAUGAAAACUUUAAUGGCAUUUUGUUUUACUAUCAUCUUCAUCAUAUCUUUUGUUCAUUGUCUUCAUACAACUGCUGAAAGUCCAGGUUAUCAACCUAGCCGAUUUUCGCGAUUACCAAUCAAAUGCUACAAGGAUAACAGGUGUGCAACUGAAGUCUGCAGUAGUAUUUGUCAUAGAAUAGGAUAUACUCAUGGUUUUUGUCUUACUAAAUCAAGAUGUUGUUGUGAGACUAUUUGAUACUAUAACUAACUAGCACUUCUACGAUGAAAUGAUAUAAUCGCAUGUACUAGUAUUUGGUUAAAAAAAUAAAUCUAUAAUUUUCACA